AGGAUGACAUCUACUUCGCCAUGCCUAGAGCUGAUCCGUGCUGGUUGCUGAGGAAAUACAUCAACUUUGCACUGUGAACACUUUGCCGUGGACAAAGUGGAGUCCAACCCAGGGUCGUCACAUAUGGUUGCCUGCCGGCCACUCCUUUGUCGAAUCCCCCGGCCGUGCCAUUCUCAAGCCCACCGGCCGCCGCUCACUCUAGGCUGCCAUCCGUUCCUCAGUUCCAACUUUGCAAGGACAGUCUGGCACUUAUGACUCACAGCCUCAUCACUCUCCAACGGAUGGAGGAGAAUCCAGACAGCGACAGGCAUUAUGAGAGGACCACUGAUGACCCCUCACCCUCUAGCCAGGGGACCAAACAGCAGAGUGAGGAGUCCCCCUUGGGUGAUCACGACCUACCUAUCAUGCAAUGGGAAGAUUUAAAUUUGCGAAUUGCAGAGUUAGAAAGGCAGGAAGAGGAAAGAAGGAAAAAAGCAGAGAGUCUGGGUUUAUCAGAGCGAGACCGAAUACUUGACAGAUGCUGGACAGAGUCAAAACACCCUUCACUUCACCGGGCGCCAGGGGCGGAUGAGAACGACUACAGUCCCUGCCGUGUCCCUGUCAUAACGUCACGGUUUAAUAGUCCUAAAAACCUUCAGCUGUGUUUCAUCAACAACAGUGAGAGUGAGGAGGAGGAUGACGAAGGAGCAUCUAGCAAAGAGAGCUCAUGUGAGGCAGAGGUGCGUGGAAAUUGCUCUCGGGGGCUAAAACAGGAAGUAAAAGCAGCACUCAGGGCUCUCAGAGACAAGCUAUGGGCCGAACAGAAGGAGAAAGAGCAAACCACCCACAGUAACAUGAGCAUAAGGAGAAAGAUUCUUAGCCUUAGUGAUCUGCAGACAUGCUCUUUACUGCAGCUGAAAGCGCUCAGGGCCUCGCUGAAUGAGGACAUUCAAGACUUGAGCUCAGAAUUGGUGAAACAUCUCGUAGUACGGGACCACCUUCAGACUAAGCAAGAUGCUUUGCUCCUGGAUGUACAGGAUAUGACAUCAUUAUGAACGAUUUUUGUUUUGAACACUGCGGAACUGCAGUUUAACGUUGGCACUUUCUCAAAGCAGUAAUUUACUGUUACUCAUCCUGUGGACUAACAAAGGCCAGAAUAUCCUGUUUAUUCUUGAAGAAAUGUAGCCCUCUCAGAAACUUUUGUUAAAAUGUGAGUCACAUUGAUUAUAGUCACAAGUUUUAUUGUGGAAAAAAGUGCCUUAUAACGAACCCUAAUGACUCUGAUUCAUAUGUCACUUACGGUUUAAUUUUGCUUUCAUAAAUAGAGAAUAUAUUAAGCUGCUGUCAAAGCCAUAUGUGAUAUAACUGUGAUGUAUUAAUCAUCAGUUAUGCUACUUUAAGCAUUCCAUUGAAAUACAUUAUAUGUAAUCGUCAUGAAAAUAUAAACGUGUGCAUUCUUAUGAAUGUGCCUUACAACUUUCUUGUGUAUCAAACUUAUACAUGAGACUGAAGUAUAUCUCAGUGCUAAAUAUUCACAAUUUAAUAAAUAAUUUGUUUUAUAUCUUAUACA
ensembl:lncRNA